CUUCAUCAGGAAGCCCGGGGGGCUGAGGCCCGGUCAGCAGCAGCUCCGCUUUGGCUCCGAAGGCUGUCUGCGGAGUUUGAAGCCCUUUCCUCCAGAAGGUGGGCUAGCGUCAGUGGAGGGAAU
rnacentral:miRNA from 1 species